ensembl:ncRNA asRNA:CR45164 antisense RNA:CR45164
GAUUAGGUAAUGGCCUACCCAAGCCAGGCAUUCCUUUGCUCCUUCGAUAGCAAAACAAGGACCCCUUCCCUCAGGAGUGUAGCAAUAAACAGCGUCUGCCCGUCCCACAACCAACAUUGAAUCAUUUAUUUCGCCACCUCCAGCCUUGCACAUUAUACUGCGGUAAUUAAGAUUACCUUUAUCAUUAUCAAGUACAAAUUUUGUAUCCAUUAUGCAUUUCUCUUUUAACAUAAAACAAUAAACUCCUUGAACACAUGUCACAAACAUUAUUUGAGUUGUAUCUAAAGGUUGUGUUUUGAAAUCAAAAUGUAUUCCAUUGACUGCGUUUCCAGAAACAGUAUGUUGGCGAAUAUUUGCAGAAAAAUUUUUUGUGAUUUUUCCAUAAUGCAAAAGAAUAUCACCAUUUCCCAAUCCUAUCGCCAACGCAAACAAUUUAUCGUCAAUGACGUCUGCGUUGAGGCAUAAGGGCGUACUUGAAGGCUGAGUAUAUGCAGAUGCAAUUAUUGGAGCUGCUUGCUUUUUUGUUAAUCUAUUAAGGUCAAAUAUAUCAAUGUGAAUACCAUUAUUGAUAUCCGGUGUGACAGUCGCAAGGCUGUUAUUGCUGGUAAGGGAACAAAGAGCAAUAGCUUUCCGCGUGGAUGGAGAUUUGAAGGUAAUACACUCCCAAUUUGAAAGUGCUUGAUUUUGAUUCGGGAAAGCAGUAGCACGAUAUUUCUGCCGUGUUCGGAAUUUUUACAAAUGUGGAACAUGUGUGACGUUACGGGUUGGCCAACAAAAUGAAACAGUGCAAUAUGAAAAUAUAAAGUAGUUUUUAUAAGCAAAUUACACUAAGCACAUCCAAUUGUUAUGAUUUUAAUCUUAGAUGUGGAUAUAUAAUAUAAUUAUUAAAAUAAGCUAUGUAGUAAUUAAUCUUUAAGAAAUUAUUGAAAAAAACGAAGCUCGGAUUUCUGACACUGU